AUUGAACGCUGGCGGCAGGCUUAACACAUGCAAGUCGAGCGAGCGGCGGACGGGUGAGUAAUGUCUGGGAAACUGCCUGAAGGCGGGGGAUAACUACUGGAAACGGUAGCUAAUACCGCAUACCAUCAGAUGUACCCAGAUGGGAUUAGCUAGGAGGUGGGGUAAUGGAUCACCUAGGCGCCGAUCACUAGAUGGUCUGAGAGGAUGAUCAGCCACACUGUAACUGAGACACGGCCCAGACUCCUACGGGAGGCAGCAGUGGGGAAUAUUGCAGAAUGGGCGCAAGCCUGAUGCAGCCAUGCCGCGUGUGUGAAGAAGGCCUUAGGUUUGUAAAGCACUUUCAGCGAGGAGGCGUUACUCGCAGAAGAAGCACCGGCUAACUCCGUGCCAGCAGCCGCGGUAAUUC
rnacentral:rRNA from 1 species